UUAUUCUCCCUUGUUAAUUUAUUAUUUUUCUAUUAUUGAUAUAACUAGCGAAGGUACUCGCGCGUUGCGGCGGAUUUAUUGCAUAGAAAUAAAUAAAUAAAUAAAUAAAUAAACUAAAAGAAAAUUUAAAAAAUAGAAAUAAAAGAGGCUAAAGAAAAAGUAGCACAUACUAUAGUAAAAACAUAAAAAUGAAAGUAUAAAAAAAAGGACAAAAUUAUAAAAAUAAUAAAUUAUAUCUAUAAUGGUAGAAAAAGUAUAAGAAAAUUUUUUUUAAAAAAAAAGAAGUUAAA
rnacentral:lncRNA from 1 species